CACGCUACUAUUCACCAUGCUAUAUUUUAUUUCCGCCCGCUCAGCCGAUUCUAACGCACGCUGUUUUCUUUCUCCGGCUGACAGUCAUGUCCAGUUUUAGCCUACCCUCAAGCGGAAUGCUGCAGCCCUUAUCAACGAUGCCUCACAAAAUAAGCUGAUGUAAGAUGUAAACUAAAAGUAUAGUUAGCCCUAGGAGUACCGCCGUUUUUAGGCGGCAACAUCCACUACGAAAAUUCUGACAUCAAUGAUGUUUGAUAUAAAUGAAGAAUCCGACGUGAAAUAAAUGGGAUUUUGAACCGAUAUGUCACACAGCAUGUUGCGAUUAGCUUUUCUUAGCGAUUUCUGAGCUGUUUUACUACCGGCUAAAUUAGCUACAACAGCAUUCUGGCUGGCUUCACUUCCCAAAACAACAGAAAGAGCACGGGGAGCUGGAAGAGCCACAACGUGUCCACCGCUGAUCUAAAUAAUCAAAAUGCUCGCUCUUGCUGCAAUUAAUCUACGAUCAACAAUAGUUGCUUAAAUAAAAAAAACAAUUAACCGUGGAAAAAAUUAGAUUUGGACCAAGUUUGCAGAAAACGUACUCCCUGUGUGUGACAGUUCUUCUCCAAUUAAGUUAUCAGAGCUGGCGUGUCAUCUGGACGAAGCAAUAUCUGAGGCAGUAUAAACCAAUACAGGCGUUUCUGACAAAAUUGUAAGAGGCCUUCGUUGCGUUGGCGAUAAUUAACAUUGCUAUUUAGGAUUAAUUCUAAGUUAAUAUAAUGUAAAUAAAUAAAUACAUACUUGAAAAAGA